rnacentral:tRNA from 1 species
UAGUGUAGUGGUUAUCACGUUCGCCUCACACGCGAUAGGUCCCCAGUUCGAAACUGGG